CCCUUGUCUUUAGUUGCCAUCAUUAAGUUUGGGGCACUCUAAAGAGACUGCCGGUGUCAAACCGGAGGAAGGUGGGGAUGACGUCAAGUCCUCAUGGCCUUUAUGACCAGGGCUACACACGUACUACAAUGGCAGGUACAAAGGGCAGCCACUUAGCGAUAAGGCGCGAAUCCCAUAAAACCUGUCUCAGUCCGGAUUGGAGUCUGCAACUCGACUCCAUGAAGUUGGAAUCGCUAGUAAUCGCAGAUCAGCACGCUGCGGUGAAUACGUUCCCGGGCCUU
rnacentral:rRNA from 1 species